rnacentral:rRNA from 1 species
GGGCCCGCACAAGCGGUGGAGUAUGUGGUUUAAUUCGAUGCAACGCGAAGAACCUUACCAGGGCUUGACAUCCUGCGAACCUCUGUGAAAGCGGAGGGUGCCUUCGGGAACGCAGUGACAGGUGGUGCAUGGCUGUCGUCAGCUCGUGUCGUGAGAUGUUGGGUUAAGUCCCGCAACGAGCGCAACCCACGUCUUUAGUUGCCAGCAUUUAGUUGGGCACUCUAGAGAGACCGCCGGUGACAAACCGGAGGAAGGUGUGGAUGACGUCAAGUCAUCAUGCCCCUUACGUCCUGGGCUACACACGUACUACAAUGCUACGGACAAAGAGCAGCAAGUUCGCGAGGACAAGCAAAUCUCAUAAACCGUGGCUCAGUUCAGAUCGUAGGCUGCAACUCGCCUACGUGAAGGAGGAAUCGCUAGUAAUCGCAGGUC